rnacentral:rRNA from 1 species
GACGAACGCUGGCGGCGUGCUUAACACAUGCCAGUCGAACGGAAAGGCCCUGCUUUUGUGGGGUGCUCGAGUGGCGAACGGGUGAGUAACACGUGAGUAACCUGCCCUUGACUUUGGGAUAACUUCAGGAAACUGGGGCUAAUACCGGAUAGGAGCUCCUGCUGCAUGGUGGGGGUUGGAAAGUUUCGGCGGUUGGGGAUGGACUCGCGGCUUAUCAGCUUGUUGGUGGGGUAGUGGCUUACCAAGGCUUUGACGGGUAGCCGGCCUGAGAGGGUGACCGGCCACAUUGGGACUGAGAUACGGCCCAGACUCCUACGGGAGGCAGCAGUGGGGAAUAUUGCACAAUGGGCGGAAGCCUGAUGCAGCAACGCCGCGUGCGGGAUGACGGCCUUCGGGUUGUAAACCGCUUUUGCCUGUGACGAGGCGUGAGUGACGGUAAUGGGUAAAGAAGCACCGGCUAACUACGUG